rnacentral:rRNA from 1 species
UGGAGGGCAAGUCUGGUGCCAGCAGCCGCGGUAAUUCCAGCUCCAAUAGCGUAUAUUAAAGUUGUUGCAGUUAAAAAGCUCGUAGUUGAAUUUCGGGGUCAGUAGGUUGGUCAUGCCACUGGUAUGUACUGGUCUCACUGAUUCCUCCUUCCUGAUGAGCUGUAAUGCCAUUAAUUUGGUGUUGCGGGGAAUCUGGACUGUUACUUUGAAAAAAUUAGAGUGUUUAAAGCAGGCUAACGCCUGAAUACAUUAGCAUGGAAUAAUGAAAUAGGACGUUCGAUCCUAUUUUGUUGGUUUCUAGGAUUGACGUAAUGAUUAAUAGGGAUAGUUGGGGGCAUUAGUAUUCAAUUGUCAGAGGUGAAAUUCUUGGAUUUAUUGAAGACUAACUACUGCGAAAGCAUUUGCCAAGGAUGUUUUCAUUAAUCAAGAACGAAAGUUAGGGGAUCGAAGACGAUCAGAUACCGUCGUAGUCUUAACCAUAAACUAUGCCGACUAGGGAUCGGAUGAUGUUAAUUUUUUAAUGACUCAUUCGGCGCCUUACGGGAAAC